GGAAAACAGAGAGAAAGAAAAAAAAAAGGGAAAGAAAAUUGACGUAGAAGGAUUACAUAGACACGGAAAGCGAACGAAGGGAAAAAGAUGCUCGAGUCGUUAGCCAGCGAGAGGAUCUUCAGGGGAGAGGAAAAAGAAUCCACGCGGCGGGUUGGCGCGGGCUCUUUUAGAUGCAAUUUGACGGAGACACGGUCUCGCUAGGGUAGUCUAUUCGAGAGGCUAACGACGUGGCAAUUUGUUUUCGUUGAAUUAGCAGGGUUGGCUGGUGGAAGCACUGGCGUCAAAGAACGCUCGUUCGUACGCGCCUUACGCGUAGUAAAUGUUCUCAAAGCUCACAGGCACUUGGGACGUUAACGUCGCUACUCGGGCCCCGCUCAGUCUACUCGUGAAACAAGAGAAUAUGUGGGCGUGUUCGGUAGAAAGAGAAGGAUAAAGAUAAAGAUAAAGAUAAAGAUAAAGAUAAAGAGAGACAGAAGACGAGGAUGCCGCGCAGAAGGAAGCGAACCGAAGGCGCCUGCAUCGAUUCUAGAACGUUAUACACACGUAGAAUGCAACGUUCCGCGUCUGGCUGUGAUCCGUCAAGCAGAAACGACGCAAUUUACAUAAGGAAUCGAGGCAAGGCGUCUCGCGUAGCAACUCUGUACAAGGACGACUACGAAGGAAGGCGAAGGAGGGUGAAGAUGGUUGUAACAAAACGAAUAUAAGGGAGCAAAACGAGAGGAAGAGAAUAAAUGUGAAGGAGAGAAGCAACGAAAUAAGAUAAAUCGUCGUGGAAAAGGAAUAUUGUAUAAAGUAAACGGAGGAGAUGGAUGCCGUGGUAUUGCUUAUAUUAUUAGUUUUACACGAGAAAAGGAAUUUUUUCAAUCCGCCGAAAUUAACAAUGAAAUAAAUGACGUCGACUUGUAUCUCUAUAAAUAUAAUCGUGAAUAAAUUAUAUUUCAUAUAA